UCGUUCUCCUCUCCACUGUUCUCCUUGCUUCUUACAUCUGCUGCCGUUCCGCCGCCGCUCGUCGUCGCCGCCGUCAAGCCCAACACAAUUCUCAAAACCUCAAUAACAGUGAAAAUGGAAUUUACCUCCCUCGUAUCAUAUUCGUAGCCGUUCUCCUGUCCACUGUUCUCCUUGCUUCUUACAUCUGCUGCCGUUCCGCCGCUGCUCGUCGUCGCCGCCGUCGUCAAGCCCAACACAAUUCUCAGAACCUCAAUAAUAGUGAAAAUGGAAUUUACCUCCCUCGUAUCAUAUUCGUAGCGGAAGAUGAUGAAGAAAACGACGACGUUUCGUCGCAAAACGCGACGUUGGGUCUUGAUCAGGUCGUAAUCAACUCGUACCCUAAGCUGGUUUACUCCAAAAGAAACGGUAGCGGAAACGGAAAUGAUUGUCCAAUAUGCUUGUGUGAGUAUAAGGAUGGAGAAAUGCUGAGGAUGAUGCCGGACUGUAAGCAUUAUUUUCACGUGAUGUGUAUUGACGCGUGGCUGAAAUUGAAUGCUUCAUGUCCAGUUUGUCGGAACUCGCCGUUGCCGACACCGUUAUCUACACCGUUGUCGGAGGUGGUCCCACUUUCUCAGUAUUCCGAUGGCCGGAGAAGAGUAUGAUAUAUAAUGUGGACUUUUGGUAAUUUGGAAAUGUAAAAAGUUUUGUUGGAAUUAAAAAGUUUCAUUUUUUGCCCUUUUAAUAUUAGGGUUGAAUCACUUUGGAGUUUGUUUGUUGUUGGAAGUUUUAGGGCUGUGUUUUUUAUGAUGAUUUUUUCUUGAUUACACAGAAU
rnacentral:lncRNA from 1 species